rnacentral:rRNA from 1 species
AGAGCGAACGCUGGCGGCAGGCUUAACACAUGCAAGUCGAGCGGGCGUAGCAAUACGUCAGCGGCAGACGGGUGAGUAACGCGUGGGAACGUACCUUUUGGUUCGGAACAACACAGGGAAACUUGUGCUAAUACCGGAUAAGCCCUUACGGGGAAAGAUUUAUCGCCAAAAGAUCGGCCCGCGUCUGAUUAGCUAGUUGGUGAGGUAACGGCUCACCAAGGCGACGAUCAGUAGCUGGUCUGAGAGGAUGAUCAGCCACAUUGGGACUGAGACACGGCCCAAACUCCUACGGGAGGCAGCAGUGGGAAUAUUGGACAAUGGGCGCAAGGCCUGAUCCAGCCAUGCCGCGUGAGUGAUGAAGGCCCUAGGGUUGUAAAGCUCUUUUGUGCGGGAAGAUAAUGACGGUACCGCAAGAAUAAGCCCCGGCUAACUUCGCGCCAGCAGCCGC